CCUGGUUGAUCCUGCCAGUAGUCAUAUGCUUGUCUUAAAGAUUAAGCCAUGCAUGUCUAAGUAUAAGCAUUUAUACCGCGAGACUGCGAACGGCUCAUUAAAACAGUUAUGGUUUAUUUGAUGGUUCCUUUGCUACUUGGAUAACCGUAGUAAUUCUAGAGCUAAUACAUGCACGAAGGGGCGACUCACGAAGCCCUGUAUUUAUUAGAUUAAAGCCAACCACCUCCGGGUGUUCGUGGUGAAUCAUAGUAACUUCUCGGAUCGCCGGCUCUACGCCAGCGACGUGUCAUUCAAAUUUCUGCCCUAUCAGCUUUAGAUGGUAGGAUAUGGGCCUACCAUGGCGGUGACGGGUAACGGAGAAUUAGGGUUCGAUUCCGGAGAGGGAGCCUGAGAAACGGCUACCACUUCUAAGGAAGGCAGCAGGCGCGCAAAUUACCCAAUCCUGACUCAGGGAGGUAGUGACAAGAAAUAACAAUAAACCGGCUUAUGCCGGUUUAAUUGGAAUGAGUACAAUUUAAACAUCUUAACGAGGAACAAUUGGAGGGCAAGUCUGGUGCCAGCAGCCGCGGUAAUUCCAGCUCCAAUAGCGUAUACUAAAGUUGUUGCAGUUAAAAAGCUCGUAGUUGGAUUUCUGCGGGGGCGGGGCGGCCGGUUGCUUAUAGCAACUCGAGCUAGCACUUCCCCUGCAUCCUGCCGCGAACCGUGCUACCAUUAGUUUGGUGGCGCUGGGGAUCGGCUCGUUUACUUUGAGAAAAAUAGAGUGUUCAAAGCAGGCCACACGCCUUGAAUAAGUUAGCAUGGAAUAAUGAUAAAGGACUUCGGUUCUAUUUUGUUGGUGUUCGGGACUGAAGUAAUGAUUGAUAGGGACAGUUGGGGCGGUCCGUAUUCCAAAGCGAGAGGUGAAAUUCUUAGACCUUCGGAAGACGAACAGCUGCGAAAGCGUUCCGCAAGGAUGUUCCCUUUGAUCAAGAACGAAAGUUGGGGGAUCGAAGACGAUCAGAUACCGUCGUAGUCUCAACUAUAAACUAUACCAGCUAGGGAUCGGCCAACGUUUAAUUACACCGACUUGGUCGGCACCUUAUGAGAAAUCAAAGCAUCUGGGUUCCGGGGGGAGUAUGGUCGCAAGGCUGAAACUUAAAGGAAUU
rnacentral:rRNA from 1 species